rnacentral:rRNA from 1 species
AUUGAACGCUGGCGGCAGGCCUAACACAUGCAAGUCGAGCGAAUGAAGGGAGCUUGCUCCUGGAUUCAGCGGCGGACGGGUGAGUAAUGCCUAGGAAUCUGCCUGGUAGUGGGGGAUAACGUCCGGAAACGGGCGCUAAUACCGCAUACGUCCUGAGGGAGAAAGUGGGGGAUCUUCGGACCUCACGCUAUCAGAUGAGCCUAGGUCGGAUUAGCUAGUUGGUCGGGUAAAGGCCUACCAAGGCGACGAUCCGUAACUGGUCUGAGAGGAUGAUCAGUCACACUGGAACUGAGACACGGUCCAGACUCCUACGGGAGGCAGCAGUGGGGAAUAUUGGACAAUGGGCGAAAGCCUGAUCCAGCCAUGCCGCGUGUGUGAAGAAGGUCUUCGGAUUGUAAAGCACUUUAAGUUGGGAGGAAGGGCAGUAAGUUAAUACCUUGCUGUUUUGACGUUACCAACAGAAUAAGCACCGGCUAACUUCGUG